ensembl:lncRNA
CACCCUCAACACUGUCACUCUGGGCACUGAGCCUGUAGCACAUGAACUUCAGGGGACAGUUGUAUCCCAGUUGAGUUUCGCAACCAUGAUGUGGGCAUUCAGGGAAGAGGCAGGGAAGCAGCAGCUGCCAGCCUCAGGAACACAGGAGGGAUAGAAACUUCAAGAACACAGCACACGGGAGCAGAGAGGAGCAAAGAGGGCUACAAGACACCUCACAGAGCUCCAUUCAUCCUCAUCCAACUUGGCCCUCAGGCUCAGGAGUGAGCUGCACACACUUCUAACUCCUUUGAGAUGCUGCCUUUCUAGGCAGGAAGAGAGGGCACAAUUUUGGCUGGGUCAUUCAGCCAGAUUUCAU